GACGAACGCUGGCGGCGUGCUUAACACAUGCAAGUCGAACGGUGAUGCUCCAGCUUGCUGGAGUGGAUCAGUGGCGAACGGGUGAGUAACACGUGAGCAACCUGCCCCAGACUCUGGAAUAAGCGCUGGAAACGGCGUCUAAUACUGGAUACGAAACUGGCCCGCAUGGGCAUGGUUUGGAAGGUUUUUCGGUUUGGGAUGGGCUCGCGGCCUAUCAGCUUGUUGGUGAGGUAAUGGCUCACCAAGGCGACGACGGGUAGCCGGCCUGAGAGGGCGACCGGCCACACUGGGACUGAGACACGGCCCAGACUCCUACGGGAGGCAGCAGUGGGGAAUAUUGCACAAUGGGCGGAAGCCUGAUGCAGCGACGCCGCGUGAGGGAUGACGGCCUUCGGGUUGUAAACCUCUUUCAGCAGGGAAGAAGCGAAAGUGACGGUACCUGCAGAAGAAGCACCGGCUAACUACGUG
rnacentral:rRNA from 1 species